rnacentral:rRNA from 1 species
AACCUGGUUGAUCCUGCCAGUAGUCAUAUGCUUGUCUCAAGGAUUAAGCCAUGCAUGUCUAAGUAUAAAUCUUUAUACGGUGAAACUGCAGACGGCUCAUUACAAUAGUGAUAAACUAAUAGAUUUUCGGGUUUACCUUUUGGAUAACCGCAGUAAAUCGGGGCUAAUACAUAGAAGCGAGGGGUGACUGGCAACGGAAGCUCCGCGAUUAUUAGUUUAUUACCAAUCCCGCAAGGGCUAGUGGUGAAACCGAAUAAUAUUGCUGAUCGACAUGUAUUUGUCGACAAAUCUACUGUGUCACUACCCUAUCAACUUUCGAUGGUACGGUAUUGGCCUACCAUGGUUGUAACGGGUAACGGGGAAUCAGGAUUCGAUUCCGGAGAGGGAGCCUGAGAAAUGGCUACCACUUCUACGGAAGGCAGCAGGCGCGCAAAUUACUCAAUCCCAAUACGGGGAAGUAGCGACAAUAAAUAUUAAUGCCCAUCUAUUUUAUAGAGGGCAAUUAAAAUGGACAAAAUAUAAACUACAUAGUUAAUACAAUUGGAGGGCAAGUCUGGUGCCAGCAGCCGCGGUAAUUCCAGCUCCAAUAGCAUAUACUAAAGUUGUUGCAGUUAAAAAGCUCGUAGUUGAAAUUUGGGCUAUUAAGGGCUCAAACCAACAUCCACUUUAUAGUGUUUGUAUGGUUCCUUAUAGACUCAACUUGACUCAGUAUAGUCUACUUUUGUAGUUCUGUAUCUGAGUACUUCACUGUGAGAAAAUUGUGGUGUUUAAAGCAAGCGUAUCGCUUGAUCUUUUGCAGCAUGGUAUGAUAAAACAUGAUCUGCGUCAACCAUUGGUAGUUGACUGUAUGUAAUGAUUAAUAGGGGAGGAUGGGGAUGUUCAUAUUGAUGGGCGAGAGGUGAAAUUCGUUGACCCUAUCAAGAUGAACUUCUGCGAAAGCAUUCAUCAAAUACUCCCCCAUUAAUCAAGAACGAAAGUUUGGGGAUCAAAGACGUUCAGAUACCGUCGUAGUCCAAACUAUAAACGAUGUCGACCAGGGAUCAGCCGAUAUUUAUAAAAAUGCGGUUGGCACCUUGUGGGAAACCAUGAGUUUUUAGACUCUGGGGGAAGUAUGGUCGCAAGUCUGAAACUUAAAGGAAUUGACGGAAGGGCACACAAUGGAGUGGAGCCUGCGGCUUAAUUUGACUCAACUCGGGAAAACUUACCAAGCUAAGAUAUAGUUAGGAUUGACAGACUAAAAGAUCUUUCAUGAUUCUAUAAGUGGUGGUGCAUGGUCGUUCUUAGUUGGUGGAGCAAUCUGUCUGGUCAAUUCCGAUAACGGACGAGAUCUCGACCUGCUAACUAGUAUCACUUAUCAACCAAUAUAGUCGGUACCUUUUCCUAUGCUGACUUUGUUUACUCAGGGUGACGGGUGGGUUUAGAAUAUUGGCUGGUUAGAUAAGUGAGAUAAAAUUAAAACUUCUUAGAGGGACUACCUUGCGGUAAGCAGGUGGAAGUUCGAGGCAAUAACAGGUCUGUGAUGCCCUUAGAUA